CACUCACCAGAUGAGAUCUGUUGCUAACCACACCUUUUAGGAGUUAGGGUUCAAAAACAGGUACCAAAAAACUUGUAUUUAUAAAUAACAAGGAUCCAAGUGGGAGCUGAUUAUUUUUUUCUUCCUUUCACCUUUAACAUUUUUUCAUAUUUUUAUUUUUUGUUAAUUUAUACUUUGAAGGUGCAUAUAAAGAAAAGAAACACUUUCAAUAAUUUCAGAAAAUCAUUCUCAGACCUGAAGAUAAUAUUUAUUUACUGAACACUAAACUAGGCAAUUAAGAAAGACAAUUAAUUAAGGAAUGCAGAGAGCUUUAUAGGUUAAAUAGUUCUUGUCUCUGUUUUAACACCAAGUGGAAGCUCUUUAAGUUUUAUCUGAAAUCUUAGAAUCAAAGAAAAAUAGAAAUAUAAAGCCUGUCCUCGUUUUUGAAAUGGAUGCAUUCCUAACAUGUAUAACUUACUUUUGUGAAUCAAAUAUGUUUCCCCAUUAAUUAAAGAAGCUCAAUAUUCAUAUUUUAAAAGUUGAAUACUUAUGUAAUGUGAAUAAUUAUAUUUACAUAUAUCUUGUUUAUAAAUUUUAAUGUGUUUUCUUAAAUUGCUAUAGUCUGGUAGCUUUAUUAAUUCUCAUGUAGACAAACAAACAAGACUGCUUGAGAUAGAGUAUAUUUUUCACUAUCAUAUUAUUCGGUGUUACAUGUAUUGUUAAUAUGAUAGGAGAUAAGGAAAAUAAUUUUGGCAUUUAUCUUCACAUUGCAUAAACACUGAGGAAAUUGAAACUGGGGAAGUUCUGAUUAAAAUGAGAACUUGUAAUCAACAGUAACCAACGUCUGAGGAAUGAAGUUUCCUUUUCAUAUGUUCAACCAGAGGAAAGAAAUGCCCCGACGACUUAACAACACUCUUAGACCUCAUCUUAUCUUAGCUUUAAUCAAAACUGAAGAUAUUGGCUCAAGUAGAAAAAAAAAAGAAAGAAGCACAUUUUAAUUGAUUAAUCAGUGUAUGUGCCACCUCAGCUCCAACAUGCCAAAUUACUCCUUUCAACAACUGUUCUGCAUGUACAUGCUGGGUACCCUGCAAGGUGAUGGGGGAGAACAAUGAACUCCAAGACUGUGGUACAUAUGAAAGUGGUUUAGAGGAAGGGGUCUGGACCAGGCUGCUUGGAUUUCAACUUCAGUUAUGCUACUUUCCUGCCAUGUGAUGUUAGGUAAUUUACUUAGCAUCUCUGGACCUCAGAUGCAUCGUCUGUCAAACAGUGAUAGUAAGAGUUCCUCAUAGCAUUGUGUAAGAAAUAAAGAUAACAGUAAUUUUUAGAUAACAUUCAUCCCACUGGACAAAGAAGAAAUUUAAAUAGAAUUAAUAGUAUAUUACAAAUAUGAUAUGUGUCAAGAGAAAGAAUUACAGGAUUUUUUAGUGUUCAAGAGAAUAAGUUUAUUAUAACAAGCAUUCUUGCUAUUUAGAGGAGAGAACAUGAUAUCAUUUCAUUUUUUUUUUCUUUUAUUGGAUUUUAGGUUUUGGGGUACAUGAGCAGAGUAUGCAUGACAGUUGCGUAGAUACACACAUGGCAGUGUGCUUUGCUUUUCUUCUCCCCUUCACCCACAUUUGGCAUUUCUCCCCAGGCUAUCCCCC
ensembl:lncRNA